AGCGAACGCUGGCGGCAGGCCUAACACAUGCAAGUCGAACGAAGUCUUCGGACUUAGUGGCGGACGGGUGAGUAACACGUGGGAACGUGCCUUUAGGUUCGGAAUAACUCAGGGAAACUUGUGCUAAUACCGAAUGUGCCCUUCGGGGGAAAGAUUUAUCGCCUUUAGAGCGGCCCGCGUCUGAUUAGCUAGUUGGUGAGGUAAAGGCUCACCAAGGCGACGAUCAGUAGCUGGUCUGAGAGGAUGAUCAGCCACAUUGGGACUGAGACACGGCCCAGACUCCUACGGGAGGCAGCAGUGGGGAAUAUUGCACAAUGGGCGAAAGCCUGACGCGGCCAUGCCGCGUGAAUGAUGAAGGUCUUAGGAUUGUAAAAUUCUUUCACCGGGGACGAUAAUGACGGUACCCGGAGAAGAAGCCCCGGCUAACUUCGUGCCAGCCGCCGCAGUAAUAC
rnacentral:rRNA from 1 species